rnacentral:rRNA from 1 species
UACAGAGGGUGCGAGCGUUGUCCGGAAUCACUGGGCGUAAAGGGCGCGUAGGCGGCCUGAUAAGUAGGGGGUGAAAUCCUGUGGCUUAACUGCAGGGCUGCCUCCUAGACUGUUAGGCUCGAGCACGGUAGAGGCAGAUGGAAUUCCCGGUGUAGCGGUGGAAUGCGUAGAGAUCGGGAAGAACAUCGGUGGCGAAGGCGGUCUGCUGGGCCGUCGCUGACGCUGAGGCGCGACAGCGUGGGGAGCAAACAGG